UACCCCCUGGCAAUGGGCAAGGAGACUCCUGAUUGGUGGUGUUGCUCUUAUGUCAGUGAGGGUUGAAGCAGAUGUACAGUCCCUAAUUCAUCCUAGCCUGAUGCCUGGGUUGGUAACCAGAGCUGUUUCAUGCCUGGGGCACAUAA
rfam:Myotis davidii contig93467, whole genome shotgun sequence.